rnacentral:rRNA from 1 species
CGGAGAGUACAUCAGCGGCAGACGGGUGAGUAACACGUAGAUAACUACCCUCAAGACGGGGAUAACCGGUGGAGAGAGCGGCUAAUACCCGAUAGGCUCACGUGAUCGGGAGGUCAAGUGAGGAAAGGCUGCGGUGCUUGAGGAGGGGUCUGCGGCCCAUCAGCUAGUUGGUGAGGUAACGGCUCACCAAGGCGAAGACGGGUAGGGGGUGUGAGAGCACGACCCCCCACAAUGGGACUGCGACACGGCCCAUACUCCUACGGGAGGCAGCAGCAGGGAAUAUUGCGCAAUGGACGGAAGUCAGACGCAGCGACGCCGCGUGGGUGAGGAAGGCCUUCGGGUUGUAAAGCCCUUUUCUGGAGGGCGAGGCAGGACGGUACUCCAGGAAUAAGCGUCGGCUAACUACGUGCCAGCAGCCGCGGUAAGACGUAGGACGCAAGCGUUAUCCGGAUUUACUGGGCGUAAAGCGCCUGUAGGCGGCGGGAUAAGUCGGAUGUGAAAGCCCCGUGCUCAACGCGGGGAAGCCAUUCGAUACUGUCUGGCUAGAGAGCGGGAGAGGGAAACGGAAUUUCUGGUGUAGCGGUAAAAUGCGCAGAGAUCAGAAGGAACACCGAUGGCGAAGGCAGUUUCCUAGGCCGUAUCUGACGCUGAGAGGCGAAAGCUAGGGGAGCGAACAGGAUUAGAGACCCUGGUAGUCCUAGCUGUAAACGCUGGAUGCUAGGUGUGGGCCAGAGCGGGUCGUGCCGGAGUUACCGCGAUAAGCAUCCCGC